AAAAUUUUGAACUAAAAUGUUGUCAAGAUUGUUAUUAUUUACAAAAAUAAUCUAUAAAUCUUAUUUUUAAUAAACAAUUUCUUUUGGACACAGCGUUCUGAGCGUUCUUUAAGCAGCAAAAAAUGAUCAUGGCAGGGCUACAUUUUCCGUUGUUAGCAGCAAGUUUUUACAAUUUUUGGUAGAAAAAGUAGUUUUUCUGUGCACUAUUUAAACCUUAUUCUGUUCACUAACGCCUCUUUAAUCACCUAAAAUGAGCGUAAUUAAUAAUACACACUCAGCACGUAAAGACCACCUAUAAAAGAUGAGACCUGCAUCACCCCUUCUAUACGUCUGAUAUUUGGCCAUUAUUCUGGUUUACAAAAUGCUUUUUUAUUAUUCAAUUUAAAAUUUUGUACAACAUUUCAAUAGAUGUAUACAGUUCCAGGGCAGUACAUUUAUCCUUUUGAUGAAUAUUAUGAACAAUGCAUCAGGGCUUAUAUCUAAAAUGUUAUUUCCUUCGGACCCAAGGCCCAAGACCUUUCAGAAGGGUAGUCAGAAGAUUUAUUUACCUCAACAUAGACAUCAGCAUGGCCAUCAAGACCUUGGAUAUACUUUUUACGUUACUCUUUGUUCAUUAAAUAUAAUAAUAUGUAAAUAAAUAAUACCGUAUGAUCGAAAAAAAAAACGGCGUCCAGUUGGCUUGGAAAUGACGAUCGAUGACAUUCCCCCAUAUAAUUUUCCAUAU